rnacentral:ncRNA from 2 species
CAAGCGUUCAUAGCGACGU